rnacentral:tRNA from 1 species
GGGCGGUAUGGCCAAGGGGGCCGGGAUGCUGGCGCCUUCCCUGGCCACGAUGUUGUGCGUCAUCACCACCGAC